rnacentral:lncRNA from 1 species
AAUUGGACCUUGGCCCAUGUAUGAAAGUUGUUCCUCUCAUUGAACUCUACAACCUUGAAAAAUUUGGUAAUUUUUUGUUAUAGUUGAAUUUUCCGGCGAGUCGAGGCGUCCGACUGUCACCCGCGGCGGCGCGUGGCCAAUGAGCCAAUGCCGUCUUUUUAAGCUAAAUUUUGAUGUACUGAAACCAAAUUUGGUAAGUAUUUGGUGUGAUUCACUUGUUUGAAGCUAGAUGGUGAUUGUUAGUCACUUGUAUAAAUUUUGGAAUUUGAAUGAAUUUGAAUUGGUGAACUACUAAUGGCUUGAUCCCUAUUUAGGGUACGUAGGCAGUCUAACGAGAAGUUAGAUGCAGCCAUAAAUAAACGAGGGUCCGAGUUUUGACCUCUUGUUGGGAAUUAGAGUGAAGAGGAGAAAUUUGGGCUAAAUGAAAAAUAAUAAACGAAUGUUCUUGAUAGGUAAAUUUAGUGGUAGACUUUUAUAAGGAAUUAAGGAAUUUUAAUUAAACAAUAAUGUGUAAUGGUAGCAAAUCAAACAAGAGUUUGUUUCGAGCCUAUGAUUGGAACUAUUUCCCGAAAAUAAAUAUUUCGGGGCGGGGCAUUACAACCACCCACCAGCUUCCCCCUCUCUCUCACAUAACCUUAGCCAUCCCGUCCACCACUGUUCUUCUUAAAAUGAAACUAAAUUCAAUGUUUGCAUAAUAACUUAUAUUCUAACCUAAACGCAUUGAUGUAAUUUGUGAUUUUUUAAAUCUUGAAUGGACUCUUGACUCUCUUGAAAUGAGAAAGUCUGAUAAUAUAUACAUUGUAAUUUUAUUGUUUAUUUAUUCUUUUAUUGUAGUUCUAAAAGUUUUAAAAAUAAAAAUAAAAAUAAUGUCCAUAUGGCACUUUGUGAUUGGUUGAUGGAAUCAAUAAAAACAAAAAUAACAAUUUUGCCCCUACAAAUGACAGAAGAAUGAGGAAAAAUCCAAUUUGGACUAUGAUUGAUAAGGAAUGCAAUUAAAAGAAAACUAACGAAAAGUAAAAAAAACUUCCCUUUAAUAAAAAUUCCUUUUUAAAGGUAUAGUGAAUAGUACUAGAGAAAUGUAUAAAUGUGGUUUUUCGUUAAAAGUGAACAGUAGUGGGAGUGUUUUGUUAAAACUCCCUACAAUUAAUAGCUUUUCACCACAUUGGUCUAUUUAAAAAUAGGGUAUCACCACAAGGAUCACGAAAAAAAUUUAGCCUUAUUAAAAAGGCAUAUUUGUCGAUUUGCCCUCUAAACUUGUAUAGUGCUAUCAAUUUCCCUCAUGAACUUUACUUUUAGCCUAUUACCCCCUUGAACUUUUAUAAUUAGCCAAUUUCCCCUUGAACUUUAAUUUUAGCCGAUUACCUCUUGAA